rnacentral:piRNA from 1 species
UCCAUGUCGACACAUGUCCUGCUUAUCUCA